CCAUUGCUGUCCUCCACUACAAUGAAAAUUCAGAACGGAAACAAGCCAAAACAAAAGACAGCAAGGAGCGGUAUGCACUCCAAUACCCGAAGGCGAGAAAAGGCGAAUGGGUUGUAAAACAAAUCAUGGAGCCUGCGUCAUACGAUUAUGUCCACAAGCUGCUCAGCUGCUGCCUGGAGUUGGCGGAAGCCGUCCCCACCUACAAGGAGGCCGAGGCCGCCUAUGUUCCCUGCUCUCGUAGGCAGCCCCUGUGCAGUGCAUCCCAGAGGCCGAACAAAGAAGCUGCAGUCCUAGCCCACAGGACCCGGUUUCACACUCAACAACGCCAGGGCCAAUGUUAGGCAUGGAUGGAAAUCGCUCCCGGAUCUUGCCGACCACACAGCAUGGGAGCCUGACACGGCGGUGACGGCCCAGCUUCCCCCAGACCCACCACACGAACUGCUUGUAGGCUGUAAAUCUGUAUGUUCUGCAAAUGGUAUGCCCACAGACACUCAUUAGUUUGCGAAAACAAUCACGUACUGCGGUGCAUGUUGGGAACAGACAAGCAAUGCAGUGUAAUGAACAUGUGAUGCUGAUGAACUUUCCGUAGAAGUUCAGGAGCCCCAGAUAUGCCCAGAGUUCUUUUUGGUCUUUGGGCGUCUUCGCCUGUAGGAUAGCAUCCACCUUCU